AUGGCAUGAUGAUGAUAUCAGUGAACCUUUCCAUAUGAUUAAACACAGGAUUAAAAUAUCCUCCUACUCAUUCUGA